GGGUACCAUUGCUAGAUAGUCACUUCGAUUAGUACAGGUAUUGGUUCCUGUGCUACCGGCUUAGGUUCGAACCCGCGGGGUCACACACAUUAGAGGUUCCUAUCUGAUCUGAUGGCUGAUGAAGAGUCCUAAUGCUCAUGGACUAAGAGUCCUACUUGUCUGGGACUCUGUGAUCGAGAAUCAGAAUUCUCUGAUCAUGAGUCCCACACAUUUUGGGUACCGGGGUCAAGAGUCCC
rnacentral:lncRNA from 1 species